CGGGUGUGCUGCGGCACUGCGGUUCCGAGGCCGUUACCCCAGAUCCUCCAGGGGGCGGCGGAGGAGGUUGGAGCGCGGCGGCGGCGGCGGCGGCGGCGGCGGAGCGCCCGGGCGUCGCCGAGGCACACGGAGGCUGGCGGGGCUCUUGCAGCCAGACGGUCAGGGACACGCCUCGGAGCUCCCGGCCCCGGGCAGAGCCAGGGUGCUGAAGCGAGCGCGAGGCCGCGGAGGGAUGCUGAGCGCCCGGCGAGGGGCGAGCCGCAUCUGAGGCGGUGAGGCUGCGGGCGGACGCUCCCGGCGCCCGGCGCCCGUGCCCGCCGGCGGCCGGAACGCCUAGAGCCUCUCGCCCAGGUCCAGCCCGGCCCCCUCGGCCCCCACGCUGAGCUUGAGUCCUUGGCGGCCCCUCCGCUGACCGGUUCCCCCCGGGAGCGGGACAACCUUGACGGGCUUUUUGUCUCGUGCCCCGGCCGCUCUCCACGUCCUCCUCCUCCAGAUGCCUUUUUUUCUGCCCCUCCUCACCGGGUGCAGACUGCCAGCGCCCGCUGCGGCUCAGCGCGGGAUUCGGGCUCGUUUUCCCGGGGGGGCUGAGGAGGGAGAGUUCUUUCCCCUCUUCGAUGGGAUUUUCCUCCCCUGCCGAAAUGGACUUUCAUUGAUUCCGUCUUACUUCUGCGUUUACUGACCAAUUCCCUGGGCGUAUUUGUGGUACUUCCUCCCCCACCCCCUCCUGAAUACAUAAUUUGUAAAAUGGAGAACGAAAUCUUUACUCCCCUUCUGGAGCAGUUCAUGACCAGCCCUUUGGUCACUUGGGUUAAAACAUUUGGACCACUGGCUGCAGGAAAUGGGACUAACCUGGAUGAGUACGUGGCUUUGGUGGAUGGGGUAUUCUUGAACCAGGUCAUGCUCCAAAUUAAUCCUAAGACGGAGAGUCAAAGAGUAAAUAAAAAAGUCAACAAUGAUGCUUCUCUUAGAAUUCACAAUCUAUCCAUUUUGGUGAAACAGAUAAAAUUUUAUUAUCAGGACACUUUGCAGCAGUUGAUUAUGAUGUCAUUACCAAAUAUCUUAGUCAUUGGCAAAAAUCCCUUUUCUGAACAAGGUACAGAAGAAGUUAAAAAGUUGCUUUUACUCCUACUUGGUUGUGCAGUUCAGUGUCAGAAAAAGGAAGAAUUUAUUGAAAAAAUUCAAGGUUUAGAUUUUGAUACGAAAGCAGCAGUUGCCGCACAUAUUCAAGAGGUCACUCAUAAUCAGGAAAAUGUGUUUGAUCUGCAAUGGAUGGAAGUGACAGAUAUGUCUCAGGAAGACACAGAACCACUCUUAAAGAGCAUGGCCUCACACCUCAGAAGACUCAUCGAUGAGCGAGAUGAACAUUCAGAGACUAUUAUAGAACUCUCUGAAGAGCGAGAUGGUGUUCAUUUUCUACCCCAUGCCUCUUCAUCUGCACAGUCACCCUGUGGUUCUCCAGGCAUGAAGCGAACAGAAAGUCGACAGCAUCUCUCAGUGGAACUGGCUGAUGCUAAGGCCAAGAUCCGAAGACUUAGGCAGGAAUUGGAAGAAAAGACUGAGCAGUUACUGGACUGUAAACAAGAACUUGAACAAAUGGAAGUGGAAUUGAAGAGGCUGCAACAGGAGAACAUGAAUUUGCUUUCGGAUGCUCGAUCUGCUAGAAUGUACCGAGACGAAUUGGAUGCCCUCCGAGAGAAAGCAGUCAGAGUUGAUAAGCUUGAAAGUGAACUCUGUAGAUAUAAAGAGAGACUACAUGAUAUUGAAUUUUAUAAGGCAAGAGUUGAGGAAUUAAAAGAAGAUAAUCAAGUUUUAUUAGAAACAAAAACUAUGCUGGAAGACCAACUAGAAGGAACUCGGGCUCGUUCUGACAAAUUACAUGAAUUAGAAAAAGAGAAUUUACAAUUAAAGGCUAAAUUGCAUGAUAUGGAAAUGGAGCGAGAUAUGGAUAGAAAGAAGAUUGAAGAAUUAAUGGAAGAAAAUAUGACUCUGGAAAUGGCACAGAAACAAAGUAUGGAUGAGUCAUUGCACCUUGGCUGGGAGCUGGAACAGAUAUCCAGAACUAGUGAACUUGCUGAAGCACCACAGAAGUCCUUGGGCCAUGAGGUAAAUGAAUUAACAUCAAGUAAGUUAUUGAAGUUGGAAAUGGAAAACCAGAGUUUGACGAAAACUGUAGAAGAGCUACGGAGUACUAUGGACUCUGCAGAAGGCAGCACUUCCAAAAUCCUCAAAGUUGAAAAGGAAAACCAGAGACUGAGUAAAAAGGUUGAAAUUCUUGAAAAUGAAAUUAUUCAAGAAAAGCAAAGUCUUCAGAAUUGUCAAAAUUUAAGCAAAGAUCUAAUGAAAGAGAAAGCUCAACUUGAAAAAACAAUUGAAACACUCAGAGAAAAUUCAGAGAGGCAGAUUAAAAUAUUGGAGCAGGAAAAUGAACAUCUCAAUCAAACAGUGUCUUCCUUACGGCAGCGUUCCCAGAUUAGUGCUGAGGCGAGAGUGAAGGAUAUUGAAAAAGAAAAUAAAAUUCUCCAUGAAUCUAUCAAAGAAACAAGUGGAAAACUAAGCAAGAUUGAAUUUGAAAAAAGACAAAUGAAAAAGGAAUUAGAGCUUUAUAAAGAGAAAGGAGAGCGAGCAGAAGAACUUGAAAACGAGUUGAAUCGUCUUGGAAAGGAGAAUGAAUUGUUGCAGAAAAAGAUAACUAAUUUAAAGAUUACAUGCGAAAAACUUGAGACAUUAGAACAGGAAAAUUCAGAGCUAGAAAGAGAAAAUAGGAAAUUUAAAAAAACUUUGGAUAGCUUUAAAAACCUUACUUUUCAGUUGGAAUCUCUAGAAAAAGAGAAUUCCCAACUUGACGAAGAAAACUUAGAGCUGCGAAGGAGCGUGGAGUCUUUGAAGUGUGCGAGCAUGAAGAUGGCCCAGCUCCAACUGGAGAACAAGGAGCUGGAGAGUGAGAAGGAGCAGCUCAAGAAGGGCUUGGAGCUCAUGAAAGCCUCUUUCAAGAAGACAGAACGCUUAGAAGUUAGCUACCAGGGACUAGACACAGAAAAUCAAAGACUACAAAAAGCUCUAGAAAAUAGCAAUAAAAAAAUCCAACAAUUAGAGAGUGAGCUACAAGACUUAGAGAUGGAAAAUCAAACAUUACAAAAAAACCUAGAAGAACUGAAAAUCUCUAGCAAAAGACUGGAACAACUAGAAAAAGAAAAUAAGUCAUUAGAGCAAGAGACAUCUCAACUUGAAAAGGACAAGAAACAGUUAGAGAAGGAAAACAAACGACUCCGACAACAAGCAGAAAUAAAAGACACCACCUUAGAAGAAAAUAAUGUGAAAAUUGGGAAUUUGGAAAAAGAAAACAAAACUUUAUUCAAAGAAAUUAGUGUAUAUAAAGAGUCCUGUGUUCGUCUAAAAGAACUAGAAAAGGAAAAUAAAGAGCUUGUGAAAAGAGCAACUAUUGAUAUUAAAACCUUGGUUACAUUACGUGAGGAUUUAGUCAGUGAAAAAUUGAAGACGCAACAAAUGAACAAUGAUCUGGAGAAAUUAACUCAUGAGCUUGAGAAGAUAGGUUUAAAUAAAGAGCGGCUCCUACAGGAUGAGCAGAGCACUGAUGACAGUAGGUACAAACUUUUGGAAUCAAAAUUAGAAUCCACUCUUAAGAAGUCUCUUGAAAUAAAAGAAGAAAAAAUCGCUGCUUUAGAAGCUCGGUUAGAAGAGUCUACAAAUUACAAUCAGCAAUUGCGCCAUGAACUUAAAACAGUGAAAAAAAAUUAUGAAGCUCUCAAACAGAGACAAGAUGAGGAGAGGAUGGUGCAGAGUUCCCUUCCAAUCUCUGGGGAAGACGACAAGUGGGGGCGGGAAAGUCAAGAAGCAACUCGAGAGCUCCUGAAAGUCAAAGACAGGUUAAUUGAAGUAGAAAGAAAUAAUGCUACGCUGCAAGCAGAGAAGCAGGCGCUGAAAACUCAACUGAAGCAACUUGAGACACAAAAUAAUAAUUUGCAGGCUCAGAUUCUUGCACUGCAGAGGCAGACAGUGUCAUUACAGGAGCAGAAUACCACUCUUCAGACACAGAAUGCCAAACUUCAGGUUGAAAAUUCUACCCUUAAUUCACAAAGUACUUCGCUUAUGAACCAGAAUGCACAGCUUCUAAUCCAGCAGUCUUCCUUAGAAAAUGAAAAUGAAUCUAUAAUGAAAGAACGAGAAGAUUUGAAGUCUCUUUAUGAUGCUCUGAUAAAAGAUCAUGAGAAGCUGGAACUUCUUCAUGAACGGCAAGCUUCAGAGUAUGAGUCUCUGAUCUCUAAACAUGGCACCCUAAAGUCUGCUCACAAAAAUCUUGAGGUGGAACAUAAAGACCUUGAAGACCGUUACAAUCAGUUAUUAAAACAGAAAGGACAAUUGGAAGAUUUGGAAAAAAUGAUCAAAGUGGAACAGGAAAAAAUGCUGCUUGAAAGCAAAAACCAUGAAAUGGUAGCCGCAGAGUACAAGAAGCUUUGUGGAGACAAUGAUAGGUUAAAUCAUACAUACAGUCAGCUUUUAAAAGAGACUGAAAUUUUACAAACGGACCAUAAAAAUUUGAAAAGUGUUCUAAAUAAUUCUAAAUUGGAACAAACAAGAUUAGAAGCUGAAUUUUCAAAGCUAAAGGAGCAGUAUCAGCAGCUGGAUAUCACAUCUACCAAGCUCAAUAACCAGUGUGAGUUGCUCAGCCAACUUAAAGGAAAUUUAGAGGAAGAAAAUCGACAUCUACUCGAUCAGAUACAGACACUGAUGCUACAAAACAGAACACUGCUGGAACAAAAUAUGGAAAGCAAGGAUCUCUUUCAUGUUGAACAAAGACAAUACAUUGAUAAAUUAAAUGAAUUGAGACGACAGAAAGAGAAAUUAGAAGAAAAAAUUAUGGAUCAAUACAAAUUUUAUGACCCAUCUCCUCCUAGAAGGAGAGGCAACUGGAUUACUCUAAAAAUGAGAAAGUUGAUAAAGUCCAAGAAAGAUAUUAACCGGGAACGUCAGAAAUCUCUAACACUAACACCCACCCGCUCAGACUCCAGUGAAGGAUUUCUUCAGCUGCCCCAUCAAGACAGUCAAGACAGCUCUUCAGUAGGGUCAAACUCUUUAGAAGAUGGCCAAACCCUGGGGACAAAGAAGAGCAGCAUGGUUGCACUGAAAAGACUGCCCUUUUUGAGGAACAGACCGAAGGAUAAAGACAAAAUGAAGGCCUGCUACCGUCGUUCCAUGUCCAUGAAUGACCUGGUGCAGUCCAUGGUCCUAGCAGGAGGACAGUGGACAGGUAGUACUGAAAAUUUGGAGGUCCCUGAUGAUAUUUCCACGGGUAAAAGGAGAAAAGAAUUGGGAGCUAUGGCCUUCUCUACUACAGCCAUCAACUUUUCAACUGUCAACUCUUCUGCAGCCUUCCGAUCCAAGCAAUUGGUUAAUAAUAAAGAUACUACAUCCUUUGAAGAUGUAAGUCCACAAGGUAUUAGUGAUGACUCUAGUACGGGAUCAAGAGUUCAUGCUUCAAGACCAGCCAGCCUUGAUAGUGGCAGAACAUCCACUAGCAAUAGCAAUAAUAACGCUUCACUCCAUGAAGUCAAAGCAGGUGCAGCUAAUAUCCAAAGCAGGCCACAAAGCCACAGCAGUGGGGAUUUCAGUCUGCUCCAUGAUCAUGAGACUUGGUCUAGCAGUGGUAGCAGUCCAGUUCAGUAUUUGAAAAGACAGACCAGGUCAAGCCCUAUGCUCCAGCACAAAAUGUCUGAAACAGUAGACAGUCAAGCCCAUCACAAGAUGAACGCUGGCUCCCCAGGAAGUGAAGUUGUUACUCUACAACAGUUUUUGGAAGAAAGCAACAAGCUUACCUCAAUACAGUUGAAGUCCUCGAGUCAAGAGAAUCUUUUAGAUGAAGUAAUGAAAAGUUUGUCUGUCUCUUCAGACUUUCUGGGGAAAGACAAGCCAGUUAGCUGUACCCUGGCCAGGUCAGUAAGUGGAAAAGCUCCAGGGGACUUCUAUGAUAGACGGACAGCUAAGCCUGAAUUUUUGAGAACUGGUCCUCAGAAGACUGAAGAUGCCUACUCCAUCAGCUCUGCAGGGAAACCUACACCAAGCACUCAAGGGAAGAUAAAACUAGUAAAAGAAACCUCUGUGUUGAGACAAUCAAAAGAUAGCAAUCCUUAUGCCACUUUACCUCGUGCAAGCAGUGUGAUCUCUACUGCUGAAGGAACAACUCGAAGGACAAGCAUCCAUGAUUUUCUGAGCAAGGACAGUAGACUGCCCGUUUCAGUUGAGCCAGCACCGCCUCCUGCUGGUGGCAGCAGCACCGCAGCCUCUAGUGAGUACCGUACACAGCAGUGGUCCUCUGGUACGCUGACACACUCCGGAGUCACACCUGAGUCUGUUUACACCCAGGCUAGACAUUCACGGUCAGGAGGGCCAUGUUUUCUAAACCAAACUUUCACCACUGUUAAAAUGUCUAACGAUAUAUUUGGAAUAUCAGGUAAUGACAGCCAUGGGGCAUUUACUGUGGUUCAUUCAUCUCAGCCAUUUCUAUCCCUGAACACAGAAUUGGUUAGUAACAUAAGUGGGUUACCUCCCAAGUCACUCAGUAGAACCACUGAACAGACCUUUGCCUCUUUGGAUAAAGCUACACAGAAAGAUAACAAACAGUUUUCUGACAGUCGGAGCCCCAGUCACGGUAAGCCACAGUCCUCUGUAGGUAGCAGCAGUCUUAUCAUCCCUGAGUGCCUCUACCCUGAUGACACAGAAGUUGCAUUAGCAGUUUCAGAGGAUAGUCAGACUGUCUGGUAUGAAUAUGGUUGUAUUUGAUCAAAACUGCCAAAUAUGUUAAUAUUACUCAUUGGGCUUAUAUUUUAAGACUGUUACAUGGAGUUCAGCUGUAUAAAAGGGCAUGUAUAUAAACAUGAAUGUGUAACCACAUCAAAGUCUGCAUGAAGUAGUAAUUACAUUGUGCAUUUUUGCAUGCCUUUAAAACCCCACCCAUAUUUCUCUUUCACAUCUUUUUACUACUUGAUAAAGAUGAUAAAGACACUUUGAUGUUGUGGAGCAUGUCAAAGUAGCUGCAUGUUCUGUUAUCAAGAAAACAUAUCCAAGUCAUUGUUUGGCUGCUUCUAAAAAGCGUGUUCAUUCGCUGUUCCUGCUGCCUGCCUCCUCCCGCCCCUCCUUUAUUUCCUGAAUGUGCACAUGUACAGCAUUAAUAAGGGAAAUGUUUUUGAAAUGGUAUUUUUUGUCACUUAAUCAUGUUAUCUGUUUUGUUCUCUUUUCAAAGAAAUAGUUAAUAGUUCAACUUAAUUUGAACUAAUGCUUACAUUCAUAAAACUUUGUUCAAAUUUAAAAUAUUGUUUGUUCAUAAAUGUGUUAUUCCUAGAAUUUUCUAUCAAAUUUAAAUGUGAUUUACACAGUGAGUAGGAGUGUUGUAUUAUAAUUCUCUUCUUGGUGCUGUUCUUUUUCUGAUAAAUAUAAUAGUUUAAAUACUCCCCUUCAAGGUGACAAUUUAUUGGAAUCCUUUAACACAGAAAUUUUUCUAGUUUUUUUAACAUAUGAGUCAAAGAGAAAUAAACCAAUUACUCAUUAUCUUGGGGGUUUGUAUUGUUACUUCAAUCCAGAAAAAUAUCAAGAUUUUUAAAUGAUGAAAAAUUUAACUUCUGUCAUUAAUUUACUACUAAACUGAAUAUGUAAAUCCUUAAUGCAAACUUUUUAAACAUUAAUACAUUGUGCUAGAGUAUAAAAUUAGCACUUGUGAGCAUAAAAAUUCAAAAUGCAUUAUGUGGUCUUAUUCUAGAAUCUGUUGUAUUAAAAGCAUAGUCUUGCCUGGUGUAUGCCUUUAACCCUGGCACUCUGGGAGGCAGAGAUCAGACUAGCCAGGGCUAGGUAGUGGGACCCUGUCUCAAAAAGUUCAAACAAAAAGAAAAGAAAACAAACAAAAAUAGUCUUUAGCUCCCCACGCUCCAAAACAAUCCACACAAGAUAGAGAUAAGAGCCAUAAACUUGAACUCCAAAUUUCAUAUAGUCUUAAAGUAUCUUUCUGUGUUCAUGUCAUUCUAAACCAAAUCAGCUUUAAUUUCUCGGUAUUUAAAAAAUUAUAAUCUUACAUCUGGAGGAUGUUUAACUAUCUCAGAAGUGUUUUUUUAAUUUUGAUUCAGCCUAAAUAUGACUGAUAAUAAAUAGCUCAGCCUAGGUAGGCGCCAUAAGUAAGUCCAUUAGUGAAGGGAUUACUGCUCCUGGACUUAACCUCUGUACUGAGCUGCUGUUGUUAACACGGAUGAAAGGGGAAAUCUUCAGUCUUUGAUUAACUCAAUUUGUAUCCUUUUGAAAAUCUCUCCUUGUAUAUACCCAGGGUCACUUUACAGGUAGACCUAACCCUUAUUAUAUUGCUACCAUGUGUUUCUUUCCUUACAGCUAUUCUUAAAAUAGUUCUGAUACAGGUGAUCAGAUGAACACAAGCGGUAUUUUAUAUAUUUUAGUAUCACCUAAUAUGCUUUCUGCUUGAAUAUAUCAUUACAAUAUACUGUGAAUUUUUGCUUAGUCAGUCUUAAUACUUCAGACAUUUUUGUGCUGUUUUCCCUUUUGUUCAUAGCCUACUAAUGAAUGGGAAGCACAGCUGAGACUGGCACAGCUGUGUGGCAGGAACGCUUUACUUGGCUUUGCACAUCAUAAAACUGGCCUUAUACUUUCCACACUUAAAGUGUUGCUAAUUUUGUUAAUUCAAAAUAUAUUUUAAACUAUGUAAUUUAUAAAAGCUAUAUUGUUUUAUUUUAUGAAAACAAACGUGAAGUAUUUUGUCUCUAACAUCUAAUCUAAAGGAUACACUGCAUGUAAGGGAGGUAAAUACUAUGUCCAUAUUUCCUGCAAACUAUCUAAAGAUUGCAGUGUAGAAUUCUUCCAAAUGCAACACAUACUAUGUUGUCAAAGGUUCAUCAAACACCACUAAUACUUUACCUUUUCAGUGGUAGGGAGUAAACACAGCCUUAGUAAUCAUAUGGAGCCAGUGUUUCCCAAAAGAUUUUUAUGUCAGCAUUAAAAAUGAAGCAGCUGUAACCACUUCUGAAAGAAUUCUUCCUCUACUUCCACAAUUGCACAUCAGGUUAACCGGGUGUUGGUUGAACAAAUGCUCGUCUCAGUGAGCCUGGGUAUACUAAAAGGAGAGUUGGCUUUCAUAAGACAUGGCAGAAUGAUAUGUUUGGGUGUUCUUAUUGCCCAUUUUAGGAUAAAUGUAUGUCUUUCAACCAAAUAGUAAGUUUGACUUUCUGCUUCUGUGGAAUAAUAGAAGUUAUUUCUUUCUGUACCAGCUAAUAAAGUGGUGAGAUUAAAGGAAAAAAUAAAAAAGAAGAAGAAGCAGCAGCAGCAGCAGCAGCUAUGUGAACAAAGUACAAGAAAGCAGAAAUUCAAAAAGCAGGUCUAGGGAGCAACAAAGCUCCUAAUUCAGUGGCCCACUGCAUGACAUGUGGGCAGAGGGAGAGAAAAGUGUCCUUCAGUUUCUCAGUGUGAAGACUUUAUUUCUGAAGUAACAAGACACCUAGCAACUAUAGGAACUAUUAAAAACAGUAAGGAGAUUUUAACACAUCCCUUCGUGACUAGAGCAGGCAAGAGAUAUAAACUCCAUUCUUCCUUGAAUCAAGGAGCACUACUGGAUUCAACUGCCAAAAGUUUUAGAAGGUUUUAGGACACUGUACAGUGCACUAAGCUCUACUGAAUAAAGGACAUUCUCUCACUUAAGGACCGAGUGUUUUAAGGUCAAGUAUUCUAAGAACAGCCUACUUCUUUCAACAUUUGUUUAUUAAUUUAUCCAUGUUUGCUUACUGCUUCUGCUAAGUAUUACCCAAAAGCUAGCCAUUUAUAUUUAGUUGUAUAAAUCUAAAUUAAGUGCUGUAGUAUUUUGUGGAAUGUACUAUAUAUCAAGAUAGAGAAAAUUGUUCUGGCUUGUCAGCCUUUUUCCAUUAGCAGACUGCAUGUGUUGGUACGCUGGUUAUUGUUUUUGUUUCUAGAGCCAAUUGUUCAGAUGCACUGCAAAGGAAACGCAAUUCAUAAGAUAUGCAGUAAUUUCCAUAAUGAAAUAUAAGAAUUAUAAAAAUUAUAUAUUAAUUUUGCCACUUUCCCUGAUAAGCUGCACUAGGUAUUCACAAAUGGAUCCAAGAUAAAGAUCAUUUUUCUGAAACUUUUUUUAGUGAGAUGGUUUUCCAACAAAUAGCAUUUACAAGUAAAGUGAUUAUGUUUUUAACUCAUUUCCCUUCUUUACUAUUUGGGUUGUGUGUGUGUGUGUGUUUUUUUUUUUUAAUGUGAGAGCUGAUUAUUGCUUAAGAAGUUUUCUUAUGGCAAAAUAAUGUAAAUAAUUUCUAUAAUCUACAUUUUUUCAGGAACUCAUUUACUAUUAAGGUUGUCAUUUUUUACUAAUAAUUUUUGUUUUUGUCCUUUAUAAUAUUAUAUUAAACUUGAUAACUAUUAUAGGUAAUCUUAAAAUAUUUGUAUGUGUUUGUUACCUUAAACAUUUGAAAAAAGCACAAAAAAGUAGAUUUAGUUAACCCAGAGAAACAUCAAUUUUUUAGUAGUAGCAAUUUUAUAUCACAGUUUUAUUUUCUUAUGAAGUAAAAAAAAAAAACACAUUGCUACUCAUUAAGACAAGUUCAUUAUUUAACAUAAAAAUCAGAAUAAUCUUUUGAAAUGAAAAAAUACUAUUUUUAUUUUAACAGUACACUUCUUAAGCUCUUAUUACCAGCUCUAAAGAACUUUUUGGAAUAAUUAUGCAUUCCCUAAUGUGUGUUUUACAAACUGUGUAUCAUUACUAACCCAGUAGUCAUGACAGAAGUCUCUUUUCUUUGCAUCCCUUCUCCUCCUCCUUUUGUCCCCGCCACCCCGUAAUAGGUCACUAACAGGUUGUGUUUAUAGUGACCUUUGGAAACAUCGUCAAUAAAAAAAGACAAAAAAUGUUUUUAGUUGCUCAGAAAUUGAAAGUUAGAGAACUUGGAUUUAUUUAACUCAGUGCUGCCAGAAAAUAAUGCUAUAAAUUAAAGGACUUUGAAACUCCUGAAUGAAAGGUGCUGUUUAAAUGUAAAUACAAAGGAUUGUUUACUGAAACACAGUACACAGACUAAAAAUCUAUUCUCUAGACUUUGAAAUCUUCUUCAUCAUGACUCCUUAGAUUCAAAUAUCAAAUUGGUAAAUGAGUAUCUUGGCAGUCUAGAGUCAGUUGCAUGUAAAAAAAAAAUGUAAAUUCACUGUUGGUUGAGAAGUUGAAAAUAAGUGUAGAAUUAUGUUUUAGCUUAAUAUAGUAAGUGGGUAAGUUAGAUUUAUAUUAACUAGCAUCUAAUUUGCACAAUUAGCACACAUCCCAGGACAAUGAGUGUGAGGUGACCUAAUGAGGGCGAGUAGUAAAGCAAUUGGACCUCCCUCUGAUAUCAUAAUCUUGUAACAGGGUCUGCUGAGUUAACCAGCACCUACCACUUCAGCUGAAAAUACCUGAAAUGUAUAGCAUUGGAGUAGGCCGACCCUGAGGGGAAAAAAAGAGAAAACCAAGGGAAUACAAUGAGACUACUAAAUUAUUCUCAAUUAUAUUAAUUGCCUUCCUCAUAGCUCUUCAAGAAAGGACUACGUGAUUUUUUUUUUCCACAAUCUACUUCAGAAGCAGACUUUGUAGGAAGCUAAGCCAAAUGGAAAUGAAUCCAAACCAUUUUUCUAACCAAGCCUAAACCUACCUAUCUGGUUUUAUUCCUAAACCUCUAUGAACACUUUAAAAAUCAGAACAACAGCAUCAGCCCAGAGCUCUAAUAGCAUGCCUCCUAGCUGGCCAUGGAAAUGUUUAGUUCAUGUGUGGCACCUUUCAUGCAAGGCAUGUUAAAAGCCUAUUUAAAAAUCACUGUGUGUAUUAUAGAGUUGUAACCACCUCACAAAUGGAUAACUACAGCCUGAAUUGUCUUAUAACAGUUUAUGUCAGGAUGUAAAAUCAAUACUGUACCAAAUCUGGAAUUGUGAUGGGGAAUUAUGUAUCCUAAAUUACUUUUGUACUUUAAGCUACUUUUUAUGAAAAGUGAAUUGUCUUUCUUUUCAGCUAUUCAUCCUGAGAUGUAUUUUUUUUCUUGAAUAUGAAUAGUACAAAAAGAGCCCAUUUUAUAAUAUAAACCUUGAUGUACAGGUUAAACUAUUUGGACAAGGAAAAUACCUUAAAAGGAAUGCUUAAUGGGUAAUAUUGCACUUAUAACACUCUUUGACAAAACCUGAUUUUAAAAUGUCUUUUUUUAUUUCUACGAGUUUUUCAGUGUUUGCCAUUGUACCCACAACUGUUAAAAUACCAAAUCAAAUAAUAUAAAAAGCUGUAACAUUUCCUUUAAAAUUAAUGCUAAUAAGGUGGUAGAAUUGAAUGGCAAAACGACCUUCCUCUGUGGUGCCUGAUGUCCAUCACAGGAGUCCCAUGCACGACAAGAAACCAUUGUUUGAGUUGUCUUACAGUCACUUUGUUUUUCUUUCAUUCUCCUUAAAAAUAUAUAUGUUGGACUAACUGAUAUAAAAAGAAAUAAAAACAAAAGGUAAUUUUUUAACAAA